AGCGCAGGCGGUGCGGCAAGUCUGAUGUGAAAGCCCGGGGCUCAACCCCGGUACUGCAUUGGAAACUGUCGUACUAGAGUGUCGGAGGGGUAAGCGGAAUUCCUAGUGUAGCGGUGAAAUGCGUAGAUAUUAGGAGGAACACCAGUGGCGAAGGCGGCUUCCUGGCCGGAUACUGACGCUCAAGUGCGAAAGCUGGGGGAGCGAACG
rnacentral:rRNA from 1 species